GCCUAACGGCUGAACUGGCAACUUGGAGAAGUGGCAAGUCUUCCAGUAUGGGGAGCAAAACAGCUAUGGGUCAAGUCCGAUAUCUUUAGGAGAAGUCUUAUUGUGAGGGCGAGUUAUAUAACACCAUAGGACUGGCCGUCCCAUAUGAAAAGAUUAUAUUAGAAUUGAAUGAAGCUUUGUUUAUAUAUUGAUAAUGACAGUAUAUAUAUCGUGUCUUGACUAAUUGCGUGCCAGCAGUCGCGGUAAUACGUAAGAGACUAGUGUUAUUCAUCUUAAUUAGGUUUAAAGGGUACCCAGACGGUCAAUAUAGCUUAUAAAAUGUUAGUACUUGACUAGAGUUUUAUGUAAGAGGGCAGUACUUGAGGAGGAGAGAUGAAAUUUCGUGAUACCAAAGGGACUCUGUAAAGGCGAAGGCAGCCCUCUAUGUAAAAACUGACGUUGAAGGACGAAGGCACAGAGAACAAACAGGAUUAGAUACCCAAGUAGUCUUUGCAGUAAAUGAUGAAUGCCAUAGGUUAGAUUAAUAGUUAAUGUUUAUAGGCUAAUUAUUGGCUUAGCUUAGCAAACUAAUGCUAUAGACUAGACAUUAAAAAUUAUUUGGUCUAUAAAUGAAAGUGUAAGCAUUUCACCUCAAGAGUAAUGUGGCAACGCAGGAACUGAAAUCACUAGACCGUUUCUGACACCCCUAACGGCUGAACUGGCAACUUGGAGAAGUGGCAAGUCUUCCAGUAUGGGGAGCAAAACAGCUAUGGGUCAAGUCCGAUAUCUUUAGGAGAAGUCUUAUUGUGAGGGCGAGUUAUAUAACACCAUAGGACUGGCCGUCCCAUAUGAAAAGAUUAUAUUAGAAUUGAAUGAAGCUUUGUUUAUAUAUUGAUAAUGACAGUAUAUAUAUCGUGUCUUGACUAAUUGCGUGCCAGCAGUCGCGGUAAUACGUAAGAGACUAGUGUUAUUCAUCUUAAUUAGGUUUAAAGGGUACCCAGACGGUCAAUAUAGCUUAUAAAAUGUUAGUACUUGACUAGAGUUUUAUGUAAGAGGGCAGUACUUGAGGAGGAGAGAUGAAAUUUCGUGAUACCAAAGGGACUCUGUAAAGGCGAAGGCAGCCCUCUAUGUAAAAACUGACGUUGAAGGACGAAGGCACAGAGAACAAACAGGAUUAGAUACCCAAGUAGUCUUUGCAGUAAAUGAUGAAUGCCAUAGGUUAGAUUAAUAGUUAAUGUUUAUAGGCUAAUUAUUGGCUUAGCUUAGCAAACUAAUGCUAUAGACUAGACAUUAAAAAUUAUUUGGUCUAUAAAUGAAAGUGUAAGCAUUUCACCUCAAGAGUAAUGUGGCAACGCAGGAACUGAAAUCACUAGACCGUUUCUGACACC
rnacentral:rRNA from 1 species